GUGUCAGCCGCCGCGGUAAUACGUAGGUGGCAAGCGUUGUCCGGAAUUAUUGGGCGUAAAGGGCGCGUAGGCGGUACUCUAAGUCAGAUGUGAAAUCCCGGGGCUUAACUCCGGACGUGCAUUUGAAACUGGAGAACUCGAGUGCAGGAGAGGUAAGUGGAAUUCCUAGUGUAGCGGUGAAAUGCGUAGAUAUUAGGAGGAACACCAGUGGCGAAGGCGACUUACUGGACUGUAACUGACGCUGAGGCGCGAAAGCGUGGGGAGCAAACAGGAUUAGAUACCCUCGUAGUCC
rnacentral:rRNA from 1 species